UACGAAGGGGGCUAGCGUUGUUCGGAAUUACUGGGCGUAAAGGGCGCGUAGGCGGUCCUGAUCGUCGGAUGUGAAAGGCCUGGGCUCAACCUGGGAAUGGCAUCCGAUACGGCGGGACUGGAGUGUGGGAGAGGUUGGUGGAAUUCCCAGUGUAGAGGUGAAAUUCGUAGAUAUUGGGAAGAACACCGGUGGCGAAGGCGGCCAACUGGACCACAACUGACGCUGAGGAGCGAAAGCGUGGGGAGCGAACAGG
rnacentral:rRNA from 1 species